GCUCACCAUGGGGAGCAUGACAAUGGGGAUAAAGCCGCUGGAUAUGAAGUGCCAGUGGCUGGAGAGAUGGUGAACCAAAUGGUGUCUACUGCGGUUAAGGCGGCUGAAGCGGGCAGGCCUUCCAAUGCCUACACAACCUGUAAAGAAGUCUUCUACACCUGGCAGGCAAGGACCUACCAGAAUGCUACUCCCCAGGAUAAGGAUGAGUUCAAACCUGCCGAGGUCAACCUGGAAACCUAAAGGUGACAAAUGGAAACCAAAGGAGGAGAAGUGGGAGCCCAAGUCCAUGGACUCUGGACCAAUGAAGAAACUCAUUCGAGAUGGGCUUCUGUAACCGCAAGAAGAACCAGGAGCUCCUCACCAAACACAACUCAGACCUGGAUCGAGUUCUAGCCGAGCUUCUGAGAGAGGGGGAAAAUGAUUGGAUGAACAACCGGCACUAAGCUGUCCCUGUUGUGUUGAAUGAACAAUUAAAGAAAGUUUCAGUGUCUGUAAAUAUAGCUUGAACAGCUGGUCUUGUUUUUUUUUCAUUGUGUAUAUUGUUGCAUUUUUGUUUCAAUUGUAUUAUUAUUAUAUGAUAAAUUGUGUUUAUGAGCCUAGAUUCAGAAUAUUUAGACUUACUUGGAAUAAGUUUUUGGCAUAUUAUUGUCAUUUAAAAAAGCAGAAUGUUAUUUUUAAAGAGCUCAUUUCCUGAUAUUGUUAUUUCCUUCAACUGUAUGUGUAUUUUCCCUCCACAUUGUGAACACUCCCUGCCUCCUCAGUAAUUUAUCAUCAAUGUUUUCUUGUGAUUUGCAAAUAGGCCUAUUAAAAUAGGUAGGUUAUCCCAAUGAUUGUUUACAAUCAUAUUUGUCUCUAAUUAGAGUGACAAUUCUAGAUGUCUACUGUUUCCCCUCUCCAUUUCAUGUGCUAAGACUCACUCCCAUCUGGUGGAAGACUUGUAUCAUAACAGUGUAAGUCAGGAGUGUGCCAUUUCUGAGAGACUUUUUUUCUGUGAUAUGAUGUAGUUUAUUCACAAUUAAUAUGCAUGUUCUUUGUAAUGUAUUAUGAAUUUUCCUCUUUUUGACAAAAUAGUCAAUAAUAUUUUGUGUCUAUAUAUACAUGUACAUAAAAAGAGGUGAAAUUUUAUGAUUUCGUUUCCCUUUAAAGAUUAAUUUUUUAUUGUAAAGAAAUUUUCAUAACGAGGAAUGGUUUUUUCAAACAACUCUGUUUAAGAUAUAAAUUAGUGAAGAUGUUGAUACUUGGGUAAGCAAACUAAUAUGCAGGAUUUUGAUACUUUGUAUAGGCAAGGGUUUGGAUGUACUUUGAUCAGACAGUUGUCUGAUGAAUGUUUGAAUUGCUUCUAUUAUAGAAAUAGAGGAGAUGGGGAUGUUUCAAGGGUUGUUAUCGUUUAAAGUUGAAUUGGCUGCCAGUGAAUCAAUGUUCUUAUUUGAAUGACUAUUGUCUGUGAUUGCUUUUAUUCUGUGCCCAGAAAUAAAUAAAAUCACCAUUUGUUGUU
rnacentral:misc_RNA from 1 species